rnacentral:sRNA from 1 species
UUAUUAACUUAUUUAAUACACGGACA